rnacentral:rRNA from 1 species
UACAGAGGUGGCAAGCGUUGUUCGGAAUUACUGGGCGUAAAGGGCGAGUAGGUGGCCAUCUAAGUCAGACGUGAAAUCCCUCGGCUUAACCGGGGAACUGCGUCUGAUACUGGAUGGCUUGAGUUUGGGAGAGGGAUGCGGAAUUCCAGGUGUAGCGGUGAAAUGCGUAGAUAUCUGGAGGAACACCGGUGGCGAAGGCGGCAUCCUGGACCAACACUGACGCUGAGUGAGCGAAAGCCAGGGGAGCAAACGGG